rnacentral:lncRNA from 1 species
UUAAUAAAUGCCAAAGCAAAACCCUAAAACUAUCAGCCGUUUUCCUAAUCUAAAAAAGAACUAAAGAAAAGAGAGAAAAACUCUCUUUGCACCGUUCCAAAGACUGGCCGUCCAAGGGCUCUCUGAACGAUUGUCUGGCUCCGAUUGCAGCAGAGUAAACGUCGCUCAGAUGACAGGUAAACUCUCACUCUUCCUUUGUUUCUUUUUUUCCAACAGUGAAUAAAAGAAAAAGAAAGCAAAGAAUCGAAAAAAAGAUCGAGAAAAUAAACAGAAAAUAAAACUCGAAAUCACCUUCAAAAUCUGAUUUUCUUUUUCCUCUUUUUUCAUUCAAAAUCGUCCCUCUUUUUACAAACGAAUCAACAGGCUUUAUAUAGCCCAAAAUACAGAAUAAAAAAUAAAAAGAAAAAUACAAAAUCCUCUCUGCUAUUUUGUUUCUUUCUUUUUCGUUGUUUCUGUUGCGUUGUUUGGCUCUGUCUGCAGGUGCGGCAUACGGGGACCUAUGCGGAGGUACGGAGGUGUGCGUAGCUCGUAGGGUCCGUGAGUAAAGAGGCGCGUGCGGGCAGCGGCUCGAAGGCGCGGUUCGUGCGAGGGCAGAGCCUGGUUGCGGCGCUGGGGGUUUGCUGCUAGGGUUUCCGCAAUCUCUUUGUGUUGGGCUUGUAACACAAUUGGGCUAGGGAUUGGGCCAUUCGGGUUUAGUAUUGGGUCAGAUUAGGUUUGGGCUUAAUUGGGUUUGGGUUAUAAUUUUGGGCUAGCUAAAAUUUGUUAAUGGACUGCUAUUUCAUUGGACUCUUUUUUAAUUUGGUUUAUUUUAUUGUGUGGACCCGGGUCAAAAUUGAGCAUUACAAUAAUAAUUUUAUUUUUCACAAAUAAACACAAUACAAAUACAAACUCUCUUUUUCUCUCUAUACUAGCUACUACUAGUUUUCUAUCUCUCACAAUUUUUUCUCACUUUUACUGCACUUUUUUUUUUCUCUCAAUGCUCUCUCAC